rnacentral:rRNA from 1 species
GGAAUUUUGCGCAAUGGGGGAAACCCUGACGCAGCAACGCCGCGUGCGGGACGAAGGCCCUCGGGUUGUAAACCGCUUUCAGCAGGGAAGACAAAAGACGGUACCUGCAGAAGAAGCUCCGGCUAACUACGUGCCAGCAGCCGCGGUAAUACGUAGGGGGCGAGCGUUAUCCGGAUUCAUUGGGCGUAAAGCGCGCGUAGGCGGCCGCCUAAGCGGGACCUCUAACCCCGGGGCUCAACCCCGGGCCGGGUCCCGGACUGGGCGGCUCGAGUGCGGUAGAGGAGAGCGGAAUUCCCGGUGUAGCGGUGGAAUGCGCAGAUAUCGGGAAGAACACCGAUGGCGAAGGCAGCUCUCUGGUCUGUAACUGACGCUGAGGUUCGAAAGCGUGGGUAGCAAACAGG